CCCUACUCUCUGUGCCUUUUAUUCUGUAACAGCUACAAGCAAAUAUCUGUAGGCCUAACACAUGUUAAAAAAGUCAAAACAUGUUUGUUUUUUUAUUUUGAGGAGCUUUUAAAUUACAGCUGUGCAGAAAAUGUGCUGUCUGUCACGGACCCGGCUCUGGAGGACUCGGGGGUCCGUGAGCAGUUAUGGACUGUUGUUAUUAUUAUUAUUAUUAAGGGGCUGUGUCGUCUACUGUUCGGUCCACAGUUGAAUGUGUAGUGUGUGUUUGCGUGUGGGUUUGCUUCUCCCUCUCUCUCCCCAGUCCUCGGGCUGUUUACAGAAGUGCACGCCGUGGGAGAGGCGUGUCCUGGCGACUGUCGUCAUUGGGAGUCCCUCUUCACUGUUACCGGCCCACCUGCAGCUGAUUACCUGACCAGCUGUUGGUAAUCAUCCAUCCCGGCUGGAGAGAGGUAUUUAACCUGGACUCGCGGCGACAGUCGACGUGGGAUUAUUACUCCGAACUGGAUAGCCGAGCGGAGAAGCGAGUUGGGGAGCACACGCACUAAGGGAGCUAUAGCACGGGACGCACUGGGAGCAGGAGACGAGCACCAUUGGCAAAUUGCACCUUUGGGUUAAUUGUUGGACUUACCUGUCUGUUCACUGUAAAUAAAGUGCACUGUGGCAUCGAAGAGUCCCGCGUUUUGGGUCCUACUUUCCUCGUCCCCACGGUCUGCGUGGCAGACCGUGACAGAAUAAUCCCACCAACCACCAUGGACCCAGCAGACUCAAGAGUUGCCACGGAGGAGGGAUCGCUCACACAGCUGUGGGGUUACUGCCAGAGCGUAACCCAGGCUGUGGAUCCACACAUGAGACACAUACAGGUAGUGUUUUUUGAUAAUUAUCUUUCCUCCACUACCUUCUCUACGAGCUUUCUGGAUAUUGACAAACUCAUUCAAAUUGUAACUGAGCUGCGGGCAAGCUCCAGCUUCGAACUGUUUGGUUUGGGCUGUCCGGGCAAGGAGGAUGCGGCUGCCUCCCUGGCAGCCCUUGCUGCUUGGUGUUUUCUUCAUAGGCGGAGAGUUUUUCCACCGCCGCUUGCUGCUCACCUAUUGGACCCUCCACUGCAGGGAAGACGGCGCCCUACUCCAUCUCCUCUCAUUCCUUCGAUGUCCUCUGUGUCGGCAGACAAAGGAUCGGCAGCGCUGGUAAGCACAGUGAGUAAACCGGACUCUGUCACCUUACUUAAUCCAGUCUCUCACGAGCAGGAGGGGACAGAUUCCUUUGACGCGGCCCCGCCAUCACGAAAGAGACGGCGUCGGCGUCGUCUUCAUCAAACCGAAGCUCACCUCACUCCGGUUGUUUCGGAAGAACCAGCUGACUCAGGGCUAGCCGCGGGACUAGCCGCACAAGGAGCCGCAGACCCAGUGCUGGAAAAUAAUGCUGCCACUACAGGCAAUCGGGAGGCUGGGGUUCCCCCCAGGGCUUCCCCAGAGGCCGAACUGGAAGCCUCAGUCGCCUCUGGCCCCCUGGACGUUGCAGAGGCAGCGCAUCCACAUCACCCGCUCGACCAUCAUCUUCGCCACCUGCAGCUACCGCAUCACCAUCUUCACCUCCGGAUCAACCAUCUAUAGCCGCUCCGCAGCCAGAGGAGGAGCUCAGCGAGCGGGGGGAGCCCGCGUCGCAGCCGGAGGAGGAGCUCAGCGAGCGGGGGGAGCCCGCGUCGCAGCCGGAGGAGGAGCUCAGCGAGCGGGGGGAGCCCGCGUCGCAGCCGGAGGAGGAGCUCAGCGAGCGGGGGGAGCCCGCGUCGCCAGCUGUGGAGCGCGUCGCAGCCGGAGGAGGAGCUCAGCGAGCGGGGGGAGCCCGCGUCGCCAGCUGUGGAGCGCGUCGCAGCCGGAGGAGGAGCUCAGCGAGCGGGGGGAGCCCGCCUCGCCGACUGUGGAGCUCAGCGAGCCGGGGGAGCUCAGCGAGCCGGGGGAGCUCAGCGAGCGGGGGGAGCCCGCGUCGCAGCCGGAGGAGGAGCUCAGCGAGCAGGAGGAGCCCGCCUCGCCGACUGUGGAGCUCAGCGAGCGGGAGGAGCCCGCCUCGCCGACUGUGGAGCUCAGCGAGCCGGCGGAGCUCAGCGAGCGGAGGGAGCCCGCACCACCUGAGGAGGAGCUCUGUGAGCCGGAGCCGGAAUUCGGCGAGCGGGAGGAGCGGCUACCGUCAAGAGAGGGGCCCGGCGGGCCGGAGAAGCGCGCACCGCCUGAGCUGGAGCUGCAGGGGCCGGAGCUGCAGCAGAGGCGAGCAGGAGCUCGGCGAGCAAGAGGAGUGCCCGCCAUCGAGAGAGGGGCUCGGCAGGCCGGAGGAGCGCGCACAGCCAUCGGAGGUCGGCGGGCGGGAGGAAUCCGAUCAGUCUACGCGGGGGGUCAGUGUGCAGGGUCCACGUCCAGCGCGCCCUCCACGCCGUCCACGUCCAGCGCGCCCUCCACGCCGUCCACGUCCAGCGCGCCGGGCGUCAUGGGCUGUUCUACUCUGUCGCCCGCCAGAGCUGCAACACUGCUGCUACCGGAUCCGUGGCCGCCCGCCGGAGCUGCAGCGCCGCAACCACUGGACGCCUGGCAGGCCACCAGAGAUGCAGCACCGCCGCCACUGGAUCAGUGGCAGGCCCCCAGAACUGUUUCGUCGCUGCUGCUGGACCCAUGGCCGUCCGCCGGAGAUCCAGCGUUUCCACCGAUGGACUGAAGGUAGGCCUCCUGAACGGUCGUCGGCCUCUGCCUAUCCAUAGCAGGUUUCACCUGUUUUGCUGUCCACCGGGUCAGCCGCCAGAACUAUGUUUGCUGCCAUUAGGGCGGGGGGUUGGCCUGAUGAACUGAGUUUUUUCGUUUUUGUUGUUUAGUGGUGUGGUUCGGAGGGGUUUUGGGGCCCUCCGUCCUGGCCCCCCGCCGCCCGCCCUGGGGUGGUUUUCCUGUUUUUUGCUUUUUGUUUCGGGUCGUCGGGAGCCGACCCUUAGGGGGGGUACUGUCACGGACCCGGCUCUGGAGGACUCGGGGGUCCGUGAGCAGUUAUGGACUGUUGUUGUUAUUAUUAUUAUUAAGGGGCUGUGUCGUCUACUGUUCGGCCCACAGUUGAAUGUGUAGUGUGUGUUUGCGUGUGGGUUUGCUUCUCCCUCUCUCUCCCCGGUCCUCGGGCUGUUUACAGAAGUGCACGCUGUGGGAGAGGCGUGUCCUGGCGACUGUCGUCAUUGGGAGUCCCUCUUCACUGUUACCGGCCCACCUGCAGCUGAUUACCUGACCAGCUGUUGGUAAUCAUCCAUCCCGGCUGGAGAGAGGUAUUUAACCUGGACUCGCGGCGACAGUCGACGUGGGAUUAUUACUCCGAACUGGAUAGCCGAGCGGAGAAGCGAGUUGGGGAGCACACGCACUAAGGGAGCUAUAGCACGGGACGCACUGGGAGCAGGAGACGAGCACCAUUGGCAAAUUGCACCUUUGGGUUAAUUGUUGGACUUACCUGUCUGUUCACUGUAAAUAAAGUGCACUGUGGCAUCGAAGAGUCCCGCGUUUUGGGUCCUACUUUC
ensembl:lncRNA